rnacentral:lncRNA from 1 species
AUAAAUCUGAGCAAUAAAUGAGAUAACGAGACCAAUAGAGUGUGUUACAAAGCAGAGAGAAUGUUCUAGUAUAUGUAGUAUGGAGUAACAUAUGUUUACAAAAUGACAAGGAUCCCCUUUAUAUAAGAGGGGGAAUCCCAACAUAGAACAAGUGCAUUUAUUACAAAGAUAUGGAGAUGGAAGACCUAGUUAAUGCCACGAUACAGGCUUAGACUAGCCUGUCAAAAUUUGUUGGCUCUAGCUUCAUGCCUUGGAAACUCCCCAUUUUCUUCCUGUAACCGUCGGUCUCAUACUGUACCAAGGUCGAGUGUCGAUGGUUCUCGAGGGAUGAAACUCGAUCGUGAUUUCGAGCCUUCGAGGUGUCAUAACGAUGGAAAAUUGUACCCUCCGAUUUUACCAUAUACAGCUCUGCUUUCCAAUUCUCCUCCAUGAUCACUUUGGAUUGUUGUAAUCAGAUAUCCCUCUUCUCUUUCAACCUUUUUGCAGAAGAUCUCAAAAAUAUUCAAAGCUUAAUCUUUAUGAGAGAGGAAAAUCACCUAAGUGAAACGUGAAUAAUCAUCAAUAAUAACAAAAGAAUAUCUUUUUCCUCCUAUACUAGCAGUUCUAGUAGGCCCAAAUAAAUCCAUAUGAAUUAAUUGCAACGGUUUAGAAGUAGAUACAAUAUCUUUAUUUUUGAAAGAGUUUCUGGUUUGUUUUCCUAUUUGACAGGCAUCACAGAUAUGUGUUCUAGAAAAAUUCAGUUUGGGUAGACCAAUAACUAACUCAUGCUUGGACAAUUUUUCUAUCAAAUGCAUGCUUGCAUGACCAAGUUUCCUAUAUCAUAACCAUGGAUCAUCAGACAUGGAUGUUAAGCAAAUGUGACCAUCUAUCUUUUCAAAACCAUCAAAAAUAUAAACAUUUCCAUACCUUUUACCUCGGAGGACUAUUUUACCUUUCUCAUCUUAAAUAGCACAGCCUGUUUUCUUAAAAUUUACCACAUAUCGUGAGUCACAUAGUUGACUUAUUCUUAGGAGAUUAUAGUUGAGUGUCACACCUCGAACCUAGGGGGCGAGAUCGGCACCCAGUGCCUCAUCUAUCCUUGCAUACCAACUUGCGACUAAGGGACUCUGAAUAUAUAAUGUCACACUUUGGCCAUGGGACACAUUGCGAGACAAUUGCAAAUACUAACUAAACAACAAUAUAAUUCUGGGCCGACAAGGCCGUCAUAACUACUACAGCUGGCAAAUCAACAAAAUAUUCAUAAAAGGCCUACAAGCCAACAUACUGCACUAACUGACAGGAUAUGUCUACAAGCAUCUACUGAUGGAUAUAUUGUGAUAGGAACAACUCCCUAACCUACUCAUAACUUAUAUACAUAUAUAUACAAAAUGUACAUAAGGCUCUCGACCCGGAAACUCCGAAAGGCAUGGAGCUUACUGAUCAAGCUGAACUCGGAUAACACUUAUUGAAGAGGCCUACCCAUCUGUCUAUCUGACCUGCACGCAUGAAAUGAAGCGCCCCCAGAAAAGGGACGUCAGUACGAAAUAAUGUACUGAGUAUGUAAGGUAAUAUACUGAAAGAUGAAAAGCGAUUUUUAGCUGUUUCGUGAUGGGAUAAAGUAGAAGGAGAAAGAGUUGGCACAGAAGGUUGAAGAGCUAAAAGAGCGGGAUGAAGAGGUAAUGAAGGCCAUUGGCCGAAAUAGUUAACUUGAGGCGGACAUUAAGGCCUAUGAGGAUAAGUUUGAGGUGAGCAAGGGGGUGAUGGCCGAGAAUGCCGACCUUCAGGCACGGGUGGCCACCUUGACUGCUGAGCUUGGUCGAAGAGAGGCAGAGGUUGUUGAUCUUAGGGGAGAACUAAGCGUUAAGGAUGAUGAAUUGGUUCAUGCUAAAAAGGGUAGGGUGACUGCUGUUUUUGAGGUAGUGGCUCUGGAGGAUGCCCUUUGGGUUUGUAGGUCUGAGCAUGACAAUGAGAUGGAGACGUCAGCGCUCAAGGUAGUGAGGUUGGAGGAAGGAAUCCAAGAUCUGGAGGCGGAGUUGCCCGUGUUGAACGAACAGGUUGUCACUUUGAAGGAGGAGGAGGUGCGAUGGUAGUCACAACCUUCCAUGUCUCAUACUUCAGUUGAUCCCGUCGUGCCGCAGGAGUUGUAUGAGAUGUGGGUCCAUGUCGAGGUCCAACUUGAAGUGUACAAGUCCCUACAGGCUAAUGGGAAGGUGUCUUAGGCAUAGCUCGAGGGUGUUCGUGUUAAAGCACGUGCAACCCGUAAAGCCUAUGGUUAUGAUCCUGAUACACCUGGCGGGGAUGACGUCGAUGACGAUGAUGAUGCGGACAUGCUUGCCUCUGAUUCUUGGUAUAACGAGGAGUAUGUCAUGGGGGAUGAUGCAGCGUAGGGCUGUUGUAUUUAUUUUGUUUUGCUUUGCUAUUUUUGUGAGGGCGUUUUUGAGCCCUUUGUAAAAAGUUUUUGUAAUACAACAGUUGUAAUGGAAUGAUCACCUUUUUGUUGUGCACUUUCAGAUUGUUAUUUAUUUGCUUUGAUGGGGUUACCGGCUUUCCCGCCGCCUGUGUAUAAUUGUUUUGGCAUAGUUGAUUGUAGGUCUUGGUAAUUCGGGCGAGAUUGAGUGUUUAACUAAUUCGGGCAAGGUCGAAUGUUAAGUAUUUCGAGCGAGGUUGAAUGUUACGUAAUUCGAGCGUGGUCGAAUGUUAAGUAAUUCAAGCGAGGUCGAAUGUUACGUAAUUCCAGCGAGGUUGAAUGUUACGUAAUUCAAGCGAGAUAGAAUGUUAAGCCAUUCAAGCGAGGUCAAAUGUUUUCUUUUGGCGAUGGCCUUUGGCUGUAGAGGUGUUAUUUCGAGUUAGGGUCGAAAUGUUAACCUGUUGCAAUUUGAGAGAGGUCGAAUGUUUUCUUUUGGCGAUGGCCUUUGGCGGUAGAGGUGUUAUUUUGAGUUAGGGUCGAAAUGUUAACCUGUUGUAAUUCGAGCGAAGUCGAAUAUUUUCUUUUGGCGAUGUCUUUUUGCCGUAGAGGUGUUAUUUUGAGUUAGGGUCGAAAUGUUAACCUAUUGUAAUUCAAGAGAGGUCGAAUGUUAAGAUGCAAAAGAAAAUGAUGGAGGGUAAAAUGUUGCUUUAUUUCACUUCGUUGGAGAAUAUCUUGAUGGAGUACAAAAUGUAUCUUGAUGGAGUACAAAAUGCUGCUUUAUUCCAUUUACUGGAGUAUUAUACAUGUCUGUUUCGUACAUAUGUUGGGGAAGUUUUCAUGUAUCUUGUCUCUUCAUCGUUCUUACUAGAGAGGUUGUCGGCAGGCGGGGUAAUGAAUUAUACUUUGAACUUCGAGACGUCCCCCUCGUUGCCUCGUUAAAAACCUCCUCGAGAAAUACCAAUUCGGACAAAACCUGGGUGAGGGAAAAAAGUAUGACUUGAGGGGCAUCCUCUUCAGAAGUUGAAGUAUUUGAGGUGGGCGACAUUCCAGUUAUUUUGUAGUAGUUUCCCUUCCAUUGUUUCUAGUUGGAAUGCUCUUUUGCUUGCUUCCGUUGUGAUUUUGUACGGCCCGUACCAAUUGGUUCCUAGUUUGCCUUCUCUUGGGUCUUUGUUUGCUUGUGUUUUGGCUUUUGAGAACAUAGUCUCCGACUUUGAGUGGUCGUAUUUUGGCCUUCUUGUUGUAGUACCUUUUUGCUUGUUGUUUUUGGGUUACCAUCCUUACGUAAGCCAUGUAUCUUCGUUCUUCUGCCUCGUCGAGGUCUUGUCUUUUGUUCUCGUCAUUGUUUGAUCCGCUUUCGUUGGAGUAUCUCAGGCUAGGUUCUCCGACCUCAACAAGUAUCAUGGUGUUAGUUCCGUAGACUAAUGAAUAUGGCGUUUCGCUGGUGCUUGUUUUUUGCGUGGUGCGAUAGGCCCAUAAUACCGUCGGUAGAAACUUCGGCCAUAGCCCUUUGGUGUCCUCAAGCUUUUUCUUUAAGAUAUUCAAUAUGGUUUUGUUGGAGGAUUCAUCUUGACCAUUGUCAGCGGGAUGAUAUGGCGUGAAGAGUAUUCGUUUGAUGCGUCAUUUUUCAAAGAACUCGAUCGUCUUUUUCUCUGUGAAAUGGGGUUCGUUAUCGCAUCUGAUUUCUUUGGGGAUGCCGAAGCAGCAUAUGAUGUUCCUUCAUAUGAACGUGAUGAUUUCAUGUUCACGUAUCUGGGCAAACGCACUUGCUUCCACCCAUUUGGAAAAGUAGUCAGUUAAAACUAAAAGGAAAUACAUCUUACCUCACCCUGCUGGGAGGGGUCUGAUGAUGUCCAUUCCCCAUUCAAUGAAUGGUCAUGGCGAGGUGACAGAGUGGAGGUGUUCGCCCGCUUGAUGUAUCAUAGGCGCAUACUUUUGGCACUGCUCGCAUUUCUUGACAUAAUCUACGACUUCCUUUUUCAUAGUGGACCGGUAAUAUCCUACCCGAAUGAGGCAUCUAACGAGGGCUUGGUUGCCUGUAUGGGCACCACAGUGGCCUUCGUGUACUUCUUCGAGAACGCGCCUGUCUAACUCGACCCUAGUCAUUUCGCUAAGGGCCCCCAAAUGUUCUGAUGUACAGGUCGUGAUUUACGAUGUUGUACCUGGCCGCUUGCAUUCGAAGCUUUUUGGCUUCCUUUUUGUCUUGUAAGAGUGUUCCCUCCUGCAAAUAUGUCAUGAUGCGGUUGCGCCAGUCCCAAGUCAAAUUUAUGGAAUGUACCUCGAGUUAGUCUAUUGACAAGUGGCGGAGGGUGACCACGUUUUCUUUAGUGAUAUUUUUGGUGGCAGCUGCUAGUUUGGCGAGGCCGUCCACCUUGAUGUUUUGAGCUCGGGGUAUCUGGUCGAGUCAGCAUUCAUCGAAUUCCUGCAGUAGUUUGUAAAUUUCUGCCUGGUACUUUUAUAGCCUUUGUUCUUUGAUUUGGAAAUUUCAUGUGACUUGGUUAAAGACGAGUUGUGAGUCGCAUCUGAGGAUGACUCGCCGUGGUCCAUACUUGAGAGCUAGCUUUAACCCUGCAAUCGGGGAACCGUAUGGACUGGCGCAUAACUUCCCCUUUUGGGACCUCGAGUACGAGUCCCAAUACCGAUCCUAACGCAUUGGAUAUGCCAUCGGUGUAUAGAACCCAAAGGUUGGGUUGCCCAGGGGAGGUACAAAAAGCUUCCUGCUCGACCUCGGGCAUUAUUUUGGCGCUAAAAUCGGCGACAAUGUCGGUGAGUACUUGCAAUUUUAUCGAUGUUCGCGGCUGAUAUGUUAUAUCAUGCUCGCUUAGUUCGAUGGCCCACUUGUCCAGUCUUCCCGACAAUUCGGGUUUAUGUAGGAUGCUCCGUAGAGGUAAGGUCGUCACCACCGAUAUAGGGUGGCAUUGAAAAUAGGGUCUAAGCUUUCGUGAAGCUAUAACCAGUACUAUGACCAACUUCUCGAGUUGGGGGUACCUUAUUUCGGCAUCGACCAGGGUUUUGCUAAUAUACUAAAUCGGAGAUUGUGUACCUUUGUGCUCGCAAAACAGCACCGCGGUUAACGCAACUUCUGAGAUGGCCAAGUACACUAAGAGGCGCUUGCCGAGCUCUACUUUGGCAAGUAGUGGUGGUGAGGACAAAUAUGCCUUUAGUUCUCUCAAGGCAUCAAUGUAUUCUGAAUUCCACUGGAGUCUGUUAUCUUUUUUUAGCAUGUUGAAGAAUUUAUGGCAUAUAUCGGAUGACCGCGAGAUGAAUCUGGAUAGAGUGGCUAUGCGGCCAAUCAAUUUUUCCACAUGUUUCUUGCUGGUCAACACCUGAGGUAUUCCUUCAAUGUCUUUAAUUUGAUCUGGGUUGACCUCGAUGCCUCUUUGUGAUAUCAAGAAAUCGAGAAAUUUGCCUGAGGUUACGCUGCAGGCGCAUUUUUCGGUGUUUAGUUUCAUGUCAUACUGCCUUAGUAUACCAAAGUCUUCCUUCAGGUGAUCGAUGUGGUCUUCUUUUCUUUUUGAUUUAACCAGCAUGUCAUCGAUGUAGACUUCCAUUAUUUUGCCGAGUUGUUCUUUGAACAUCUCGGUGACCAACCUUUGGUAGGUUGCCCCUGCAUUUUUCAACCCAAACGACAUGACCCUGUAGCAGUAUGUUCCCUAAUAAGUGAUGAACGCAGUUUUCUCUUGGUCCUCUUCCUCCAUGAGGAUUUGGUUUUAGCCUGAGUAGGCGUCAAAGAAGCUUAGCAACUCGUGUCCUGCUAUGGCAUCGAUGAGCUGGUCGAUGUGCGUCAAUGGAAAGGAGUCUUUCGGGCACGCCUUAUUUAGGUUUGUGAAAUCUAUGCAUAUCCGCCAUUUUUUGUUUUUCUUUUUUACCAUGACAACGUUAGCGACCAUUAGGGGUAUUUUGAUUCUCGGAUGGAACCGUUGGCGAGGAGCUUCUCCACUUCAUCACUUAUGGCCUCGUUGAUUACGGCAUUGAAUUUCCUUCUUAUUUGUCGUACUGGAAAAUAAAGUGGGUCGACGUUCAACUUGUGUAUGGCCACGUCUUUCGAGAUGCCCUACAUAUCUGCAUGGGAGAAAGCAAACAAAUCAGUGUUGUCAAUUAAAAACUUGUGAAAUUUACCUAGUUUUGAGAGUUUAUGCCCGAUGUAAGCCUUUUUGUUGUUGUCGUUGUUGUUUAGUUGGACGGGAUCGACAUCUUCUACCAUUGAUUCGGCUGCUUCCAUGAUGUUAGGGUCCUUGAUGACAUCUGUUUUUAGGUUGAGCCCAAUCGACGUCCCCCACUGCAGUAAUUGUUAUGCCUCUGUGUCCGCUCCCUUCAUCUGUUGGGUGUACGUACAAUCCUGGGCGAUAUGAUAGCAUUCUAGGAUGGUGUGUUGUUCGCCCCUGAUACUGAAUAUUCCCCAUGGAGUAGGGAACUUGAUUACCUGCUAGAGGCUCGACGGGAUGGCUCUCAUAGCAUGUAUCCAGGGCCGCCCUAUGAUGGCGUUAUAAGCUGUGUCUUGGUUCAUGACAAGGAAUGUUGUUUCCAAGGUGACGCCCCCGGCCAUAAUGGAUAGCGUUAUUUCUCUAGAGGUUCGCUCAACUGCAUUGUUAAAACUUGUUAGUGUUAUGUAGUACGGUAUUAUUUUGUCCUCGAGUCUCAUUUGUGCGAGGACUCGAGGGUGGAUAAUACACACGUCGCUUCUGUCAUCUACCAUUAUUCUUCUUACAUCGGUAUCUAAAAUACGUAAAGUAAUAACAAGAGCAUCAAUAUGAAGGAAAUUCAAACCGUCGGUAUGUAACUUAUUGAAGAUGAUACUGUCUCCGAAAUCGUCGUACCAUUUGUGGGUGAUCGACCGUUUCAGUUUAUGCGUGGUUAUGAACUUCACAUGGUUGAUCGUUGCUUCGUCGCCUCCACCGAUGAUCAUUUGGAUAGUACGAGCUGGAGAGGGCGGCUUUGGAGGUCCUUGGGGUAGUUAGCAUCCGCGGGCAAAGUUGGAUUGUCCUCAAUCGCUCAUCAGUUUUUUCAAGUGCCCUUGGUUUAACAUUCUCACUACCUCUUGUCGCAGACAUAUGCAAUCCUUGGUUUUGUGACCUCGUUCCUAGUGAAAUUCACAUAGGGCGUUCGACUUCCAAGUAUUUGGGUCGGACUUCAUCUUUUGUGGGCAUUUUACCUUCAUGUCGAGCUUCUCUAGUGCGUACACUCUCAUUAUCAACCUUCAAGAUGUCAAAAGCCAGGGAAAGGUAAGUAUUGGUCCUCACAUGUUUGCGAUUUUGCCCCAUGACCCAUUUCAGCCUUUCAUAUAUUCUUUCCCUCUUCUCAUUGGCCACAGUAGCUUCCUUGAUUUUGAAAUGUAAGUUUUCUUCCAGUUUGAUGAUCUUUUCCAUGGAAGAAGACUCACGUUCAGUUGGUAAAGUCACAACAUCCUGCAGCUCAGCCCACUUGGCCCUCAACUUAGCAUGUUUAGCAUGCAACUGAGUGACCUCCUGGUUAUGGAUCAUUUUUUCUUGCUCAGUUUUCUUCAACCGAGCUUCGAGUUUGCCCAUUUGAGCAAGCCUUGCCUUUAAAGCCUAGAGGAAUUUGGCAACUUGAUCCCGUUCAAUGGUGAUUUGAUCUCAUUGAGUAGCAAGUGCCUCUUUAUCCUAGAUCAACCUCUGUAAGUCCUCGGAUGAGAUCAACCUCCCCGCCUAUAAAGUCGAAGAUUAGAGUUGCAAAAGGCGUUGGUUAGAAAAUAAAAAGAGAAGGAUGAGAUGAUAUAUGAGAACAAAUGUACAUGUUGUUGUUGAUUGAACAUUCUGUGGAGAGAUCGCCCAUUUUUGUCGGUUGGCUACUCCCACCAGUUUAGAAAGCAAAUGGUAUUUAUCUGAAACCAAAAAGGCAGCACUGCAUUUACUCUUAGGGUUUUGGAUGGACACCGGGAAGGAAUUUUCUAUGUUCCCUUGAUCGGGUGAUAGGGGAACGCAUAUUUUCCUCUUGUUCGGUUGGAACCGGUGUCAAGGCAAGAGUUGGUGAAGUAGGAGAUGAUGGAAUUGAAGCGGGAGGAGAAUCAGAAUUGGAACCUUUGUGACAAGAGGAAACAACAACUCCGUAAAGAGUCCGUCUAUGUCCUCUGGUUGAGCGGAGGGAGUUCUUUUUUUGUUCUUCUGUGAAGAGAAAGCGCUUCAUCAUUGUCCUUUAUUUACUCUUCUUAAAGGACCACUUUGGUUGGUCCUUCCGUGAUCUCUUUUAUUAUUGGAGGCUUCUCUUUAGCCUCAGCCUUAGAGGUAUGCUUUCUAUUUUUUUUCCCCUUGGGAUGGGGACUCUAAGAAGAUAUGCCUUCAUGGGAAGCAAGAGCGGCAUCAUGAGCCCUCUUCCAGUCAAGGACUUCUUGAACCCGUUGUUGGGCCACCUUGGGUCAUAUGAAACCAUGAUGGUGGGACAUAUAGUAUAUCCUUUCGGGAGGCCUAUAUGUUGUACAUAGAGGUUAAAAAUUAUCUAUUUCAAGAGUUAAAAGUUAAAAAAGGAAAGAUGAAGUUUUUGUCACCAUGGUUCUUGGCGUUUCAGUUAAACCUAAUUGAAAUUUCCUUUCACUUGUAGGAAUCCAAUGUGGAAGUAUACAAUUUUUUCUGAACUCAUUGGGUUAGGUUCUCAACUAUUAGAGGAAACCAAAAAAAUGGCUAAAAAGAGAAAAUGAAGUUUAGUAAGAGGGGAAUUUCUUUUAAAACAGUAAUAGAAGGAUAGUAAGAAAGCUUACGAGUGUUGUUCCAGGAUUCGGGAAUAGGAGAUGGUGUUGCCAGUAAAAUGUCUUUGAGAGCAACAACAACAAACCUUUCCAUCCAACCACGGUCGUUAUCAUUAUCAACGUUGGUGACAAUGGCAUGGUGAUCACGUUUUCUGAGUUUGAUCAUGCCUCCACGAAAAAUCUUAGGGGCGUAGAAGUUGAUAAUAUAAGCAAGAGUAAUAGUUACUAAGCUCGGGAACACAAGAAUCAAAGGCAAGCCACCAUGCGCCAUAUUGUCGGUCCUACUUGAGUAAGACGGCAAAACUGAAAGAUUAUUGGACCUAUUUCCUUGCCAAGUCUUAAAGUGAAAGGGUACGUGUAAACAUAAAUGUACCCUAGUUCACUGAAUGUAAUCCUUUCCAUUUUAUUGGGGGCUGAAACUUCAAUAUUUAUCCAGCCACAAUCCUCUUUUACAAUAGAAAUACUAGUCGGCCGAAUAAAAGAGGGGUAUAUACUAACAACCAUAUUUCUGUCAUUAUCAGGGUAAGAAGAUUCCUUCUAAAUGUGGAGAUCAUUUGUGCAAGACAACUAAGAAUGGAUGAUAGUGCUUAUAGAGGGAGGUCCGACAUCGGGCUUCUUAUACUUAUUUUUCUUGGAUGGGCCGAUGCCGAUAAAAGUCCCUAUGUAACUGGAGGAAGAAAUAACAGAAGACAUUGUUAUGUAAAGUAUGAAUUUGUAAGUUUUGCUGAGGAAAAGGGAGUUGCAGGAAAGCUUUAGUAAAACACGGAGAAGAAGGUAGCUAAAAAUGAAAGACAAAAGUGGUGAAAAAGGGAGAAGUUUAUAUGCGGCAGAAUGCAAGGCCAUAAUUACCGAGGUAACUGGCAAAAAUACUUGUCGAAUUAUGGGACAACGCAUGUUUAGAUCAUAAAGCAAAGAGAUGUGCGUCAUUUCAAGUGUCAUAAACCGUUCAAGAACUUUUCCGCCAAGAAAAGGUGUCUUAUCUACUUCCUGUUCACAUCAAGUUGAGUCACCAGAAAGUAGGGAGACUAUCUGUAUAGGGUAAAUUUAAUUAAUGACAAAUGGAUGUUUGUCAAGUGAACGAGUGGCAGCAAAGACAAGUAGGACAUGAGUCAACGAACAGCUGACACCAGAUCCAAGUAUGUGAUCGGUGUUAUAUGAAUUUUGAAAACAUCCAGAUCGAGGAGAAGAAUUUGAAAGUAAGAUACCAGUUAAAGAAGGCAUCAUUAAAGGAGCAGUCAUUACAAAGAAUACUACAAUUUACACUUAAUCAUUAUGUAGCUAUUAGGGGGGGUCAUUAUUCACCUUAAAGAGGAGCUUGAUUUGGGGAUCUUGUCUCCCCAAAUUUAGCUAUAAAUACAAAAAUUUGCACUUAUUGAAGGACAUAAAAUACUUGUAUGAAAAAAAGGCUAAUAUUACUCUCUUAUUCUGUUAACAUUAUUUUGCUAAGUACUUUGUUCUUGAUAUUAUUCUUUCUUCUAGAGAAGCGCAAUUCAAGGCUCAAACUCGUAUUUUCUUCAAUUACUCUUAAUUUAUUUGCUUUUUUUCUUUAUUACUUUAUAUUUUGGAUCAAUUUAAUUCACGUGUCUGUACACCACGUUAUAAAUUCAACUAUAACGUUUAUGGAUAAACAGUUAGGCACCCACCAUGGUUCAUAGACAAUUGUAGAAUUACUUUGAUCCAUUCAUCUUUUAUUAACGUAUUUUGAAGCUUUCCAUUAGUAAAGCAAAAAACGAAUAUGGCACCUAAUGAUGUCAACAACUUACUCAAUGUUGGGACAAACAAUGAGCAUGGGGAUAAUUUCCGUGGUGGAGAUCAACACCAUGAUUCGACUAGUGAAACUCACAUCAAUGGAGAUGAGACAACUCUGGUCCAAGAAGAAUGAAAUACUCGACAUGUGAGGAGUCCUACCAUGAUGGUAUGAAUGAUGAACCUAUUUUUGAGAUGGUAAAAGUUUUGAGUGCACAUCAAAGGAAAAUCAUGAACCAUCUCUCAAGAUAGGACCGGAUAAUAACUGAGCUCCAACAGGAACUAUCAGUUGCCUUAAAUAAUUCCAGUGGAGGAGUUUAAGCCCCUCCUAACGUGCCUGCAAAUCAAACAACACAAAGAACCGCUAAUAUCACUUCAAGGGAGGAGUUCAGAUCUAAUGAUAAUCAAGCAUAUUGUGCAGGCAGUGGAUUCGGGAAUGAUAACAACACAAAUGAUCCUUUCAAAAUCAAGCUCAUGAGGUUCAUCAGGGAAAUGAAUGAUCUAAUGGAUCAAAAUGCUAAAGAUUUCCACGCACGGAUAGAUCAGAUCCCUGGGGCACCUCCAGUAUUGAAGGGUCCUAAUUUGAAGAAGUAUACUCAUUUGUCAUUCAAACCAAAUGUUGCCCCGAAGUUUAUUCCAAAGACGUUCAAGUGCCAGAUAUUCCAAUACGAUAGAACUUCGGAUCCGCAGGAGGACAUCAUAACUUAUAAUUUAAUUGUUAAGGGAAAUGAUUUGGGUCAGCAUGAGAUUGAAUCUAUUUUGCUAAAGGAAUUUGGCGAAAUCUUAACAAAAAGGGAGCUCUAACUUGGUAUUAACUCUUACCUGAAUAUUCAGUUGAUCUUUUGAAAUGCUUGCAGAUUCUUUCAUCAAAGAGCAUGUUGGAGUAAAGAAAGCCCAAGCCAGGAAGGCAAAUAUAUUUAGAAUCGCUCAAGGAGAAUCUGAGUUGCUGCGAGAUUUUUUGAUUUGGUUCCAAGGAGGACGUUGUUGUCGGCAGUACCAAAUAAAUAUGGAGAAGAGGAUUUCACCAAAGGCCUCAAUCCUUUAUGCUCGCAUGCCUCGAGGAAGUUGAAGGAAAGCUUAUUGGAAUUUCAGGCAACCACAAGGGCUGAUGUCCAUAAUCUUAAUGAAUCAAAGAUUAGAAUCAAAGAUGAUUAGUUGAAUUCUUCGGUAUCAUCCAAGGGUUGUAAUCGUGAUCAGCAUCAAGAAAAGGUCAAAAAUAAUUAUGAUGCAGACCAGAGAUCUUCCCAAAAUCAUUUACAACCUUAUGUACCAAACGAAAGGUCUAAUGGGCGUGGAGAUAAAAGCUUUAAGUCGUCAGAAAGGUUCAAAUGGGACAGAAGGACUGAUCAUGGUCGGAAUAUCAGGGCUUUGUUGGAAAAAGAGUCAUCGGGCUCGAGAUUCAAGAUAUCCCUAGCCAUCUGAUAAUAAUGUUAAUAUCACUUUACAAGAGUUGGUUACAUCAAGGAAGCAAGGUUCUCUAAUCUAAUUCGAUUAGACCUCAGUCAAGGAGAUCCUAAUUUGUGGUGUGAUUUCCAUGGUACACAUGGUCAUAGAAUUGAGACUACCCACACCUUCAUGAAGAGGUAGCUACACUGUUGAAAAACGGUUACCUUAGAGAAUUUUUGAGUGAUCGGGCUAAAAAUAACUACGGUAGAAGUCGAGAUGGAACGGAACAAGAAAAAGCAGCCAUAGGGUCUCGCCGCCUAACGAUUAACAAGAUUUUUGGUGGGGUUGAAGUAAAUACGGUGACAUUUUCGGCUGCUAAAAAUAUAAAAAUAUCAGUCACUCAUGGGAAGAGAAUUCAGGAAGCAUUAGAAGAUGAUGAAAUUACCUUCACGGAAGAAGAUGCGGAUGCCCUUAUUUUAUUGCACAAUGAUGUUAUAGUAUUAUCUUUAAAUGUUUUAGAUUUUAAAAUUAACAUGUGCUGGUUGACCCACAUAAUUCAACCAAUAUCAUCCAAUUAAGGGUCUUGGAACAAGAAAAGCUGGUCAAAAACAUAGUUUCGAUGAUAAAGCUUCUAGGUGGAUUCAAUCUAAUAAGUGUAACAACCUGAGGAGAGAUCGUGCUGCCUACAUAUGCCAAAGGAUAGAUAAAAU